UACGGAGGGUGCAAGCGUUGUCAGGAUUUAUUGGGUUUAAAGGGUGCGUAGGCGGCUUUUUAAGUCAGUGGUGAAAUACAGCAGCUCAACUGUUGAGGUGCCAUUGAUACUGAAGAGCUUGAGUACAGAUGAGGUAGGCGGAAUUUAUGGUGUAGCGGUGAAAUGCAUAGAUACCAUAAAGAACACCGAUUGCGAAGGCAGCUUACUAAGCUGUAACUGACGCUGAGGCACGAAAGCGUGGGGAGCGAACAGG
rnacentral:rRNA from 1 species